UGGGGAAUUUUGGACAAUGGGGGAAACCCUGAUCCAGCCAUCCCGCGUGUGCGAUGAAGGCCUUCGGGUUGUAAAGCACUUUUGGCAGGAAAGAAACGUCAUGGGUUAAUACCCCGUGAAACUGACGGUACCUGCAGAAUAAGCACCGGCUAACUACGUGCCAGCAGCCGCGGUAAUACGUAGGGUGCAAGCGUUAAUCGGAAUUACUGGGCGUAAAGCGUGCGCAGGCGGUUCGGAAAGAAAGAUGUGAAAUCCCAGAGCUCAACGUUGGAACUGCAUUUUUAACUACCGGGCUAUAGUGUGUCAGAGGGAGGUGGAAGUCCGCGUGUAGCAGUGAAAUGCGUAGAUAUGCGGAGGAAAACCGAUGGCGAAGCCAGCCUCCUGGGAUAACACUGACGCUCAUGAACGAAAGCGUGUGGAGCAAACAGG
rnacentral:rRNA from 1 species